ensembl:lncRNA
CACCUUGGACACCUGGUCUAGACUCCGUCCAAGUGGUAGGAGAAGCCAGCUUUGGUGGGGCAUUUAGGAGGAGCCUCUGCAGACACCUGUAGGGCCUGAUUUCACUGGGUGCCCACAAACAUUUGGCACUGUUCUGCACCCCAUGGGGCUUCAAUACUCUGCCUUCCCUGGGGAGGGCCUGAAGCACCCUCCUGGGUCCUGCGUGGAGUAGGGGCAACCCCCACAUUCUGCUACUCUUUGGAGGCCUCUGGAAGCAGCCCCAAGAGGUAUUGAGUGACCUUGCUCUAGUCCACCCUGGGCUCUACCUCCAAGCCCUCAAGACUCCUUCCCACCUGUAACCACUGGGCUUGCUUCUGCAAACUACUGCUUCGUAAUGACACAGACUAUAGACGUGCUUCUGAACUGCACUGACCGCCAGCUCCGUUGGGCAGAGCUCCCUCUCGGGCCGAGGUCCUCCCAGAGCAGGUGGGUGGGACACCAGAAUUUGUCUUUCUGUGACUUAGCAUAAUGUCCUCAAGCUUCAUCCAUGUGGUAGCAUGUGACAGGACGUCCUUCCUUUUUAAGCCCUGCACGCAUAGAACACACUUGGUGCAUCCGUUCAUCUGUCGAUGGGUAUCUGGGCUGCUUCCGCCUCUUGGUUAUUGUGAAUACAGCUGUUGUGAAUAUUGGGUGCAAAUAUCUCUUUGAGGCCCUUCUUUCAAUCCUUCUGAAUGUACACCUGGAAGUGAGAUUGCUGGGUCAAAUGGUAGUUUUAUUUCUAACUUUUUGAGGCACCACCAUGCUAUACCCCACCGUGGCUCAGCACUGUACAUUUCCACCACCAGGGCACGGGGCUCCUGUUUCUCCACAUCCCCACCAACACUUAUUUCCUGCUGUUUUGGGAGCAGCCAUCCUAUGAAGUGUGAGACGGCAUCUCGUUGUGUGAUUUCCAUUUCUCUGACCAUGAGCGAUGCUGAGCAUCUUUUCAUGUACCUGUGGCCAUCAGUGUGGCAUCCUUGGACAGGAUCAGUUUCAAGCACGGGGAUGCGGCAUAAGCAUGAUGAACCCUGGCCUUCCCUGGGCAUCCACUCCACUAGGCAAAAACAAAUCGAGAGUACGACCGACCACAACAGCGCGUCAUGUGAUGACAGACGCUACAGUGAACCUCCAGGAGUUAGAGUCUGAAGGGGAGAAAAGACUGAGCCAACCGUGGGCAUUGACGUGAACCAGUCAGCAUUCUAAGAAGAAAGCCCCAUGGCACUGCCUGCACCUCCUCCCUCAGUCAAGAGGGGCAGAAAGAAGCACAUAGAAACCCACAAAUCCACCAGAUAUUCAGAAACAUUUAGAAAUUUCUACUCAAAACAUUACUGAAGGGAAUAUUUCAGCUUAGGAGAGAGAGAAUAUCUUUCCACCUGAAAAUUCUUAUUCUUCAAAAAUGAUUGUCUAUUAGAGAUAUUAUAUCUGAUUCUAUCAUGGUGAUAACAUUUAAAACAUUGUUAUUAAAAACAAUACAUGCAAAUCAGAGAAAAUGUGAAGCGCACAAAAUAGUGUAAAUGAAGCAUUGAAAUUGCCCAUAAUGUACCAUCCAGAGACCAUCACUGGUAAGAUUUGGG